rnacentral:lncRNA from 1 species
GAAGAAUAAACCCAGACUCAAAUCAUAGGAAAUUCAUCAAAUGUGCUUCUCAGAGCUCUGUCUUUCAAGGAUGCCUUGCACUCAGCAACUAACACAGGACACAGCACACAAGGGAGCCUCAACUGAAAAAUGAAAAUCAAGGACUUAUUCCUGGGCACCAAAGGUCUGAUCAACCCCUUCACUCACUAACUAGUUUCCAGUGUGACCAAGACGGAGAACACAGGACAGAAACUAGCAGGCC